GGGCUUGACAUCCCACGAACCUGCUGAUAGGCAGGAGUGCCCGCAAGGGAGCGCGGAGACAGGUGGUGCAUGGCUGUCGUCAGCUCGUGUCGUGAGAUGUUGGGUUAAGUCCCGCAACGAGCGCAACCCUCACCCCUUGUUGCUACCAGGUAAAGCUGGGCACUCUAGGGGAACUGCCCCGGUCAACGGGGAGGAAGGCGGGGAUGACGUCAAGUCAUCAUGCCCCUUACGUCCUGGGCUACGCACGUGCUACAAUGGCCGGUACAAAGGGAUGCCACACCGCGAGGUAGAGCUAAACCCAAAAAGCCGGUCUAAGUUCAGAUUGGAGUCUGCAACUCGACUCCAUGAAGGAAGAAUCGCUAGUAAUCGCGUAUCAGCACUACGCGGUGAAUACGUUCCCGGGCCUUGUACACACCGCCCGUCACACCACGAAAGCCAGCUGUACUCGAAGUCGCUGAG
rnacentral:rRNA from 1 species